GGCGCGGGGUGCUGCGCUGAGGGCAUGGAGGGUGUGGGCUGGAAGGGGAGCUUAGCUCGGCAGGGACGAACGCGGGGUGGAUGAGGUCGCUUAGCACGGUAGGGAAGCAACGUAGGGCAGAGAUAGCCUGGGGUUUGCUGGGAGAUGGCGUGCUUUGAGGGGACACCGAGAGGGUAUCUCUCCCUCUCCUCUCCUCUCCUCUCAUGUUGCUGGCUCCCUCAAAGCCAUCAUUUGGCUGUGGGCCGGUAGAGGCUGUUACAACCGCUCUGAAUUUAUCAAGAAUUCAGAAGCGAUAACGUCUUGAAAGUGACUCUCCCGGCUGAGGCCCCUUGGUGCUUAAUUUUUUUUCUUAUUUUGAGCCUUCUGGUGGUGGGCAGUGUUGAGGUACAAGGUGGGCGGAAGAGCUCGGGCUGCAGCGGUCGGUACCAGCUGCGAGCACAGCAGGGUGUGUGUGAGCACCGUCCCCUGGCAGCCAGAGCAAUGAACCCCUUCUCUUGUUAAUCAUUUGUUAAAGGUGUCCUUAAGCAGGUUUUGCAUAGCAUUCCUCUUCCUGCUUGUUUAGCAUCUAGGACUUUAAAGAAAGUCGUAACCAGAGUUGUAAGAGAGUUUGUUAACUUAAUGAAUUAUUAAGGUUAAAACAAACAAACAAAAGCUAUACUUAAAAUAAUUGUGGAAAAAUAAUAGUUUAGCCUUUUUGCUUUCAAAAAGAUGUGAGGGUUUGUUGGUUGCUUUAAUAACUGAAAUAAAAAUGCCAGUACUGGGGAAAUAGGCAAUGGGGUUUUGCUACUUUUGGUGUUUAGACUUUGCACAAAUUUGCUGUCUUACUUGGCAGGAGAGUAAUUUUUGGGAGAUAGGAUUUUUUGUUUCUCGCUCACAUGAUCUGUAUUUUAAGUUCAAAAUGCAUAGAGUUAAAUAGUCUUGGAAAGUAUUCACUUAAGGAUAGAAACAGCUGAAAAAAUCACUUGUGGCUUGCAUAUACAGUUUGUGAGCUUUAUUUCUUUAUAAGUCAGAGCACCAACACGGUCUAAUUCUAAGGCAUGUUUUGUUGGUUAGGUCUGUUUCUCAUAGUGGUUUCCUGAUAGUGAUCUUUAGCUUUCACAGGAUAAUUUUGAAUUUUAAUACAGUAACAGGAGAAAAGUGUGUACAAAAAGUCAGCUGUUGCUGAAACUAUCGCUGCUGUUGACUGGAUACAAAAUGAUGGUUUAUAUGGUGUUGGUACUUGAUCAAAUGCAAAUUUGAUGCUGGUGCAUCCAUCCACAGGUUUCUAGGGAGUGGUUUCUUCAAGGUAUUUCCUGGAUGGUGGGAAACAGUCCAGAAUGUCUAAUGUGUUGCAAGUACUGUUAUACUCUGCUUUGUUCAUUAGCUUUGUUUCAUCUGUUCAAUUUCUGGUGCCCAGUGAGCAAUAUUCAAGGUUCUGUGACCAAUAUAUGCUAUUUAUAAACUGAGGGAUUCCUGUGACUGAAAUAGUUACCAUUGAGGAAGAAGUGUAUUAAAUGAUUUGUUUUCUCAUUUGUAUUGCAGGUACUUACUAUGAAAGUUAAUAGUCUGGAAGAUAUUUCAGAGAUCACUGGUUUUCCAUAUAUGCAUUGAAAUAAAAUAUACAAGUAAAAUGCACACAUUCACCCACACAUUGUUCCUUAGCAAUAGUUUGUCUAACCUCUUCUUAAAGGCUUUUAGUUUGGUUUAUUCUGAUUAUUUUAUUUUAGUAUUUAUUAUUUAAUCUCACAGAAAGGUUUCCUGAUGAUUAAAAACAUCACUGCUAUUCCUUCUUCCUUCUGUAGAUAUAGAAAACAGUUUGUUACCUUGCUCUCUGCCACUGUAUUCCAUAUUUGAAAUGUGAAAAAUAUGUCCUUUUUGAAAAAUUUUCUAUAGAUUGAAGACUGCCUCAGGAAUACCAUUCCACUAGGAUAUGAUAGGUGGCAACCUUUAGCUUUGAUAAUUCUUGUUUCCUUUUUUGGACCCCUUUGAUGGAGAACAGAUCUUUCCUUGAGGCAUGUUCCUAAAAGCUGGAUAUACCACUCCUCAGCUGAGGGCUUCCCAUGCAGAGUCUGUUUUGCAGGCUGCUCUCAGGUUGGAGCUGUAGGAUGUCCUACAGCUGUGCAGCAGUGCCAGCUUGCAGGAGGCUUAUGGCCAGAAGUGUGAGCAGUUUGAGAGCUGCUUUGUGAUCUGUUGUUUGCACUCUGCCUUUGUGCAAUUGCUGUGCUCUUGCUGGGAACAAUUUAAUGCUGCUCAUCUCAGGCUGGUUCGUGAACUGGCCCAGGCCAUCCUGCCCUAGGAAUGCACUCUGCCACUGUGUUCGCCUUGGCUGAUUUUCUGCUUCCUUGAUCUGAGGGACUGGGUUUAUACUCCUGUAGUUGAUUAAAUCCAUAUGUUCAGAUUGUGCUUUUUGAGUUGAUUGAAAUGUAUUUGUAAAUUAUGUUCAAACAUUCGGUAAAGACCGAAUUUUAUCAAUAACAUUAGACUUUGAGGUUUGAAUGUAGGUUUAGGAUUAUUACAGUUUAAUGAGUUGCCUUUCAGAUGAACUGCAGGGUGUGAGCCUGUGUUCAUUCUUAGCAGUUGCAUCUCAAAAUUAAAAUUAGCUUGUCUAAGCUCUUCUUUUGCUGAGGCUUAAGCUGUGUAUUUUGUCUCAUUAUUUCUGGGAGUUAAACCUGUGUUCUGCCUGUAAAAGCUCAGCUUCUGUAAGACAGCUCAUUAAACUUGGCUAAGUGGAAAGGGUACCUGGGCCCAUGGAUUACCCGGGGUUUAUGCAGGGUAAUCAAAACUAGGAUUCUGCCUAAUAGGAAAAUUUGUGUUUGUUCUAAUACUGUUGAAAUCAAAGCAAUUUAAGAGUCUGUGUAACUUUGUGCUUACUCUACAUUAUGAGCUGCAGCAGUUCUGCAAUAAUAGUGUCAAAGCUUCUGGGAAAGUUGCUGUUUGCUGUUUUAUCUUAGCUUUCAGAAUACCCUGUUGUCCCACAGGCUCUGCUGUUAAUGCAGUAAAUAACUUUUGGAUUCUCUGGCAUUAGGUCAUAAAAUCAGUUAGAUUGGAAAAGACCUUUUGGAUGAUCAAGUCCCACCACUAACCGAACACUGCCCGGUCUGCCACUACACCACGUCCCCAAGUGCCAUAUCUUUAUGUAUUAUAAAUAUCUCCAGGAAUGAUGACUCCACUGCUUUUGCAGCUUGUCCUAAUGCUUGACAGUCCUUUUGGUGGAUAUUAGGAAAAAAUUCUUCCAUCUAAACAAAGGAACAAACUGCUGUAGAAUUUAAGGAAUUAAGGUGAUGAAUUAUCACAAUUCAGUUUGUAUAAAGAUCAGUAACUUCCUGUAUUUAUUCCGUAUGUGUUUGUGUUUCACUUUUUUACUCUGUCUAGUUUAAAUCUCGAGUUCCCAAAGCGGUCCUGAUGGUCUUGGAGGUGCGGCUUCCCUUGAGCGUCUGCUGGGUGUUUUAAGGACGGGAGCGAAUCGGAUCUGACCCAGAAGAGGGCAGCAGUGCACUUGCACAAAACCACUGUCUUGGCUCUGUAAAGUCUUCUGUACCAAGCAUUGAAUCGAUUUUAGGAGCAGAAAUGCACCAAUGAAUCCCUUUGUAAAAGUGUAUUCUAACCCCAAAGUCCAGGGACGCUGAUGUUCCAUGUUUCAGCCAGACUUUCCCUCUAAGUAAGAAGGUGAAGCUUAUUUCUCCUGAUACCAGCUUUUUCUACCCUGCAAAUCAGAGGUCAUAAAAGACAUGCCCAUGAGAUAUGUAUCACCUCUUAGUAUUUAUAUAUAUGUAUGUCUUUUAGUUAUAAUAUAUAUAUAUGUAUAAUAUAUAAAAUAUAUAAGUGAUGCACAUUCAAAUUUUGCUCUGACACUACAUCUGAAGUCUCUUCCAGUCAAGUCUCUUUGAGAGUAAGACAUGCUAGUCAGACCUUGCCUUCUUUUAAAUGCUUUCCUUAAUAGAAAUGCUUAAACAUAAUUUACUGGAUAGUCUGAUAAGUAAUUAAUUACUCUUUUUCCUGUGGAUCCAAAAUAAUAAUUUGUAUGAAGAACUUAUCAGAAGUAAGUUGCAUUUAAAAAUGAUUUAUGGCACUGGUGGAGGGACUUUGUGACUUGUGAUUAUAAUCAGAAGAUGGACUGCAGAACAUGCAGGCAUGAGUGGGUGCCAACAGUGUACGUCGUUCUGGGUAUGGGUAGCAGUGGGGCUGUGGCUGUGGUGUUAUGGGUCUCUUCAGAUGGGCUGGCACAUUCCAAGGGAUGCUUUCUGGUAAAACCCCUCUGAGACCUUCUGUUUGCCAUGGUCUGCCCUCUUUUCUUUCAAAAUAGCAUACUGGCUUUUGAAUGGCAGUGCUGGAUACAUGGGUAAUCCUUUUGAACAUUUUUGAUGUUUUAACUGAAUCUCUUAAGAAUUAUUUUAUGUGCAGAAUGAGCCAUUAAUUAACACUCUGAAAUGUCUUUUGUGGGUUUUUUUUUACUUCUGUCAUUUUUACUUGUGGGCCCAGUCUAAAAGACUAUUAAAUGUGUAAUGAUAUUCACCUGUCCUGAUGGUGGUGUAGGCUUAUGAAAGUUGUGUGUGUAUACACAUAGAUCAACAUAGCUCUGUCUACAAAACUGGAACUUCAUUACCACAUAUUUCAGUGUAUGGGUGGGGAGAAUGCUAAUUUGAAGGCAUGAGAUUUGAAAGUGAUGUUGAACACAAAGAUGUCUGUGCUCUGCCAUGUUUCCUAUGAUGCUACAGGUCUGACAUGUCAGUUCAAAACAAAAACUGGCUCCUUUGUUAAUUUUUUUUUAUGGUAAAAAAUCCUGCCUGCAGAUGGUAAAGUGGUCCAUCAAGCAGGUAGGAAUGCUAACAAGGCUUACAUUGCCAGAAUGCUGAAUUGGAAUUUGCAGAGCCACCGUAGAGUAGAAUAUCCUGAUGGUGAGGAAACCUGUGUUGAAUAAUGCUGUCCUGUCCCUUUUUAGGGGGAAAACUUGAGCUCUGCAUUGGAAGGUCAAGUUCCUGGUGGAGAACAUGGCAGGAGGAGGAGGAAGCUCAGCUCAGUGGAUGCAGAGUGGGAGGCUUCCUAUUACUGAUGUGUAAAGUGGGAAAACAGCAACUCUACGUUGAAACUUAACAAGAUAAAAAGGAAAACAGAAGAUAAUAAAUACAAGCUAAAAUGGUGAUCUAACUGUUGUGGGAUUCUACAUGAACAACACUGUGGACGAAUUAUACAGACGUGUGAGCAAAGCUUGGUGUCUUUGUUACUGCGGGUGAGACUUCCCACUGCUCUGAUAUGGCAGCUGUGUCCUUGGGUGUCCUGGAGAUUCCUUUGAGCGAGGCAAUGCUGCUGACUGGUUCUCCUAGCCAGGAACGUGGGGUCUGCCUGGGAAAAGGGCUAUCAACAAUCCAAGGUCAUCUGUGUCUGUUCUCGCUGUUUGUUGCUUUUGCUGGUAGCUGAUAAAGGCCCAACGUCUGAGUAACAGGAGCAGCCAGGGAAGCAUAUGUGGCUUCAUCCCAUUUUUGCAAUACACUCCCUGCCAAGCUGCACCAAGAGCUCUCUGCCUGCAGAGCAGGAAUGGGCCUAUAUAUCCAACAAAACAGGACCAGAGGGACUCAUUAAACUUCCAAACAUGACCUCAAACAGGGUUUCUUAAUUAUCUGAAAAUGUCACCAGUUUGCAUUAGAAAAUCUCAGGGCUUUCUAGAGCUUGGCCAGAUUUUGGUACCUUCUCUCAGUUACACAAAUCUAUCUCCUGUUCUGCAGUGCGAUACAGUCCUAGGCUAUUUUUUUCUGAUCUGUGAAGCAAAAUCAUUAUCCCACGAGUGAAUAUUGUCCAUCCUACCAUAAGUAUUCGAGUGUUUGCCAUUAAGGGAAUAUCACAGCAACAAGAAAAGUUGAACCAGAAAUCCUCAGAGUAGUGAGGUGGGGUGUAGGUUGCUAGUCCGUGGUCGCCGGUUCAGGUGCACGCUAUGCCGUUUGUUUCUUUGCAGCACACACAUCAACUGUGUGCUUGUGACAAGUCGGCAGUUUGUGGUUAGCCUUUCCUGUGGGCAGUCAGAGUACUGAGCAGGGAGGUCUGAAGUUGCAUUCAAUGUCACCUGGACUGCUAUGAUAUUAAAUAAUAUAAUGUAAUAUGAUAAUGGAAAUGUUCGUAAAGAUUACUUCCCAGAACUGUUUUGGGAUAGAUCUCAGCAUCUUGGCAACUCUCCAGCUAACAGAAAGCUUAUUUCUCCUAAGCAGUGCCUGUAACCAAAUGGCUUAGAUUGCUUUGAUGGAAGACAUGCUUCCCUCCAGGGAUAUAUGCCUGGCACAGUACCUAGUAGCUGGAGUUGACCGAGUAGCUGGAAUAGGCAAAGUUUUGGAAAGAGGGACCCUAGACAGGUUCUAAGUUUUAACUUUUUGCAAACUUGUGAUGAAUCCUUACUGAACGGAAAACUGCUGCAUUACACUUGUUUACCUGUCCUCACUAUGAGUAACAAUUAUACUCUUUCUCUUCUCUAUUCAUCUUCCUUUUCUCUCUUGCCCCAGUAUUGGGAAGUUUUAUUUUGUAAAGUAGUUGAGGAGCAAGAGAGAUUUUGGUUCUCUUUGCUUUUUCAAGUUCAGCCCAGAAAGACUGCUAUUUCAGCUUCUGGUACCAUCUCACAAACAUCAGUACUUCCAUUCUGUUAUUCAGUAAGUUGUGAAUGAAAAUGUUUUUCCAGUUUCCUCACUUUUACGUCUUUGACAGUAGUGUGUUUUAAUUGUCUUUACUCGAGUUUCUUCUGGAUGUAUAGAUGCAAAGAAUGGGGAUGGAGGCUUGGUUUUGGUGGUGCUUGUUUGUGUUUUUUAGAAGGAUAGAGGAUGCCUGAAGAGAGAGGAGAUCUUUGAGAGUGGGAGAAAAGUAUGAGAUGACAAA